rnacentral:rRNA from 1 species
GACGUAGGGCGCGAGCGUUGUCCGGAUUUAUUGGGCGUAAAGAGCUCGUAGGCGGCUUGUCGCGUCGAAUGUGAAAACCCACGGCUCAACUGUGGGCUUGCAUUCGGUACGGGCAGGCUGGAGUACGGCAGGGGAGACUGGAAUUCCUGGUGUAGCGGUGAAAUGCGCAGAUAUCAGGAGGAACACCGGUGGCGAAGGCGGGACUCUGGGCCGAUACUGACGCUGGAGGAGCGAAAGCGUGGGAGCAAACAGG